GCUGGGUGCGGUAGUGUCCACCUGUAAUCCCAGCAGCUCGGGAGGCUGAGACAGGAGGAUCAGGAGUUCAAAGUCAGCUUCAGCAAAAGCUAAGCAACUCAGUGAGACCCUGUCUCUA
rnacentral:sRNA from 1 species